GACAAUCUCUUUACAGUAAAGGUACUUUUAUCUUUUUUCCAUUCCAAUAAUAGUGUUAAUUUUCAAAUAGAUAAUUGGGCUAUAUCGCAACCAAUUUAAAGCUUUGGUAACUAAUUAAUAUUUUUUAAAUUUUUGGAAUCUAAGCAUAAAUAGCCCAAAUCUGGAGAAGUGUCUUUGCCAUUGCAUCUAUUGUAGACACACGAAGAUAAUAAGAAGCAAUGUACAAGCAAAAGGUCACGGAUAACCUAGCUUUGUCCAAGGGAUGCUAAUACCUAUGUCUUUCAUAGGCCUACUAUCUUAAGGAGGAAUAAGAAUGGAAUUACUUUAGUCAGUGGAUGGUUUUGUUUGGAAUUUGCGGAAAUAAGAAUGAUUUUCAUAAAUUCAUAGUUUCAAUGCCAAGUAUCAGAGCUUGCUUCAAUUUAUAUGUAACUGAGGCUGAUAAUCAUAUUCUUGUAGCCAUGGUGCAACAUGAGGAUGUUUUUACAAUAAUCAUGGAGUUGUCAUCUAAUAAGCCACUAGGCUCAGAUGGUUUUCAAUUGAAAUGUUGUUCAUCAAGAUGUAAUUAAAUUAAUUAUAAUUGAUAAUCAAUUCAAUCAACCAUCCAACUAUGACCUCUUAUAUAAUUGAUAUGUGAUCUGAUUCGGGG
rnacentral:lncRNA from 1 species